UACGAAGGGGGCUAGCGUUGCUCGGAAUCACUGGGCGUAAAGCGCACGUAGGCGGAUUGCUAAGUCAGGGGUGAAAUCCUGGAGCUCAACUCCAGAACUGCCUUUGAUACUGGCGAUCUCGAGUCCGGGAGAGGUGAGUGGAGCUGCGAGUGUAGAGGUGAAAUUCGUAGAUAUCGCAAGAACACCAGUGGCGAAGGCGGCUCACUGGUCCGGUACUGACGCUGAGGUGCGAAAGCGUGGGGAGCAAACAGG
rnacentral:rRNA from 1 species